rnacentral:rRNA from 1 species
CGUUAGCGGCGGACGGGUGAGUAACACGUGGGCAACCUGCCUGUAAGACUGGGAUAACUUCGGGAAACCGAAGCUAAUACCGGAUAGGAUCUUCUCCUUCAUGGGAGAUGAUUGAAAGAUGGUUUCGGCUAUCACUUACAGAUGGGCCCGCGGUGCAUUAACUAAUUGGUGAGGUAACGGCUCACCAAGGCAACGAUGCAUAGCCGACCUGAGAGGGUGAUCGGCCACACUGGGACUGAGACACGGCCCAGACUCCUACGGGAGGCAGCAGUAGGGAAUCUUCCGCAAUGGACGAAAGUCUGACGGAGCAACGCCGCGUGAGUGAUGAAGGCUUUCGGGUCGUAAAACUCUGUUGUUAGGGAAGAAUAAGUACAAGAGUAACUGCUUGUACCUUGACGGUACCUAACCAGAAAGCCACGGCUAACUACGUGCCAGCAGCCGCGGUAAUACG